rnacentral:rRNA from 1 species
UCCGGAAUUAUUGGGCGUAAGCGCGCGCAGGUGGUUUCUUAAGUCUGAUGUGAAAGCCCACGGCUCAACCGUGGAGGGUCAUUGGAAACUGGGAGACUUGAGUGCAGAAGAGGAAAGUGGAAUUCCAUGUGUAGCGGUGAAAUGCGUAGAGAUAUGGAGGAACACCAGUGGCGAAGGCGACUUUCUGGUCUGUAACUGACACUGAGGCGCGAAAGCGUGGGGAGCAAACAGGAUUAGAUACCCUGGUAGUCCACGCCGUAAACGAUGAGUGCUAAGUGUUAGAGGGUUUCCGCCCUUUAGUGCUGAAGUUAACGCAUUAAGCACUCCGCCUGGGGAGUACGGCCGCAAGGCUGAAACUCAAAGGAAUUGACGGGGGCCCGCACAAGCGGUGGAGCAUGUGGUUUAAUUCAAAUCAACGCGAAGAACCUUACCAGGUCUUGACAUCCUCU